rnacentral:rRNA from 1 species
GCCACUGCUAUUGGGGUUCGGCUAAGCCAUGCGAGUGGAGGGCGUCCCGCAAGGGAUGGCCCCGCAGACGGCUCAGUAACACGUCGUCAACCCACCUUAGGGUGGGGGACAACCUCGGGAAACUGAGGAUAAUCCCCCAUAGGCGGGGGAGGCUGGAAUGCGCCCCCGCUGAAAGCUCAGGCGCCCUAGGACGGGGCGGCGGCCUAUCAGGUAGUUG